rnacentral:hammerhead_ribozyme from 1 species
GCACUGCUGACGAGUCCCAAACAGGACGACGAAACAGCUGUCCAGUAC